CCCACUGCAUACGUCUCCUGAGUGCCUAGAAAUCAAAACUAGAUAGAAUUUAGACAUCAACUAAUUCAGAAUCUUCCUUGACCACAAUGAACUUAAUUAGAGCAAAAGACUUAGAAGUCUGCCAAUAUUUACCCAUGCUCACGCUGCGUCAGAAAAAGAAUUUGGUGAUAACAACAAAAUGGAGAGAAGGAAAUAUUCAACUUUCCCUAGAAAUGUAUAUGAAUUGAAGGGGUGGCCUGGCCCUCCAUACCUGUGGGUGUUUCUCAUUAGGUGGAACGAGAGACUUGAGAAAAGAAAUAAGACACAUAGACAAAGUAUAGAGAAAGAAAAAGUGGGCCCAGGGGAACGGCGCUCAGCUUACAGAGGACCCACCACGGCACAGGUCUCUGAGUUCCCUUAGUAUUUAUUGAUAAUUAUCUUUACCAUCUUAAAGAUAACGGAGUGGCAGGACAAUAGGAUCAUUGUAGGGAGGAAAUCGGCAGUAAGACAUAUGAACAAAAACCUCUGUGACAUGAAUAAGUUUAAAGGAAAAUGCUGUGCCUUGAGAUGCAUAUGCAAACAUCUUCAUAAACCUUUUAACAGCAUUGUUUCAUCCUAUCACAUGGGGAGAAACCUUGGACAAUACCUAGCUUUCCUUGGCAGAGGUCCCUGCGACCUUUGGCCGUGUAGGUGUCCCCGGUAGUUGAAAUUAAGAGAAUGGUGAUGACUUUUAACCAGCAAGCUGCCUUCAGGCACUUGUUUAACAAAGACGCAUCCUGCACAGCCCAAAAUCCAUUAAACCUUGAGUCACCGCAGCACAUGUCUCUUGCAAGGACAAGGUUGGGGGUAGGGUCACAGAACAAAAUGGAGUCUCUUAUGUCUACUUCUUUUUAUAUAGACACAGUAACAGGCUGAUCUCUCUUUCUUUUCCCCACAAUGAAUGACUUAUUUAUGCUUUCAUUGGCAGAGAAAAUCAACUUAUAUAUAUUACUUGAAUUAUGAACAACACUCUAUACGGUUACAAAUCAUCUGAUACUUUCAAUAUACUUACUGUGAGAAAAUUUUGCAAAUAUUUUCAUCUGUGCAGAUUUAUAGGCAGCACAUUUUUAAUGCCUGAAUAAGACCUGUAGGGAUUAGGUCGCAUCCACAUAUGUUUAUCUGGCAGAGAAAGUUUGGGUAGCACAUGUGACCUCAAACGGUGCAAGACUCCAGGCUUAAUUACAGGAAAAUCCUAGACAGUUCUAUUAACAUAUUAUUCUUGAGUUAACCAAAUAACACAAAUUGAUUAACAAUGUGUUAACUCAAGAGUAAAAUCAAAUUGAGAAUACUAAGGCUGAUAUUAAGGGUAGUUUAUAAGCAGAAAGCAGAAAGCAGCAAUGGAAAACCACAGCCAACUCAAAACAACACCAAUGAUAAAAACAAAUUCAAAAUCUUCAGCAAUCACAAUCACUGAAUAUGUUCCUAAAUAUUCUUCCUCCUCGAAAAAAUAACCUUCUAAGAGAUUAGUAGGUUGCUUUCCACUUAAAUUCUCAUUAAGUCUUUUAUAAGGCAUUCUUACACUUGCUUUUUAAACUCAUGCUUUUAUUGUGAAACAUAACAUCAAUAGCUUUUCUGCCAAAGGCCAGUUUCUUUUUCCAGGAGGCACAGUAGCCUGGAUUGACCUCAAUCUGUGCUUGUUGGGAAUGUCCAGAGUGGCCGGGGGUGGGGGUAUAUCACUAAUAGUAGAUAAAGAAGAAAAGAUAUUUAACACAGAUCGAAUUAUUCCAGGAGGUAUGGCCUCAUAUUCAGAGGUGUAGUGUGUUAAAAAUAAGCCUUGUUGGAGGUUGCAGUGAGCCGAGAUCGCACCACUGCACUCCAGCCUGGGUGACAGAGUGAGACUCCAUCUCAAAAAAAAAAAAAAAAAAA
rnacentral:lncRNA from 1 species